GACGAACGCUGGCGGCGUGCUUAACACAUGCAAGUCGAACGGAAAGGCCCUGCUUUUGUGGGGUGCUCGAGUGGCGAACGGGUGAGUAACACGUGAGUAACCUGCCCUUGACUUUGGGAUAACUUCAGGAAACUGGGGCUAAUACCGGAUAGGAGCUCCUGCUGCAUGGUGGGGGUUGGAAAGUUUCGGCGGUUGGGGCUGGACUCGCGGCUUAUCAGCUUGUUGGUGGGGUAGUGGCUUACCAAGGCUUUGACGGGUAGCCGGCCUGGGAGGGUGACCGGCCACAUUGGGACUGAGAUACGGCCCAGACUCCUACGGGAGGCAGCAGUGGGGAAUAUUGCACAAUGGGCGGAAGCCUGAUGCAGCAACGCCGCGUGCGGGAUGACGGCCUUCGGGUUGUAAACCGAUUUCGCCUGUGACGAAGCGUGAGUGACGGUAAUGGGUAAAGAAGCACCGGCUAACUACGUG
rnacentral:rRNA from 1 species